rnacentral:rRNA from 1 species
UACGUAGGCAGCAAGCGUUGUUCGGAAUUACUGGGCGUAAAGAGUGUGUAGGCGGUGCUCUAAGUUCGGUGUGAAAUCUCCCGCUUAACUGGGAGGGUGCGCCGGAAACUGGAGUGCUCGAGCGUGGGAGAGGAAAGCGGAAUUCCUGGUGUAGCGGUGAAAUGCGCAGAUAUCAGGAGGAACACCGGUGGCGAAGGCGGUUCUCUGGGCAUGUCCUGACGGCUGAGGAGCGGAAAGUGUGGGGAGCGAACAGG